rnacentral:rRNA from 1 species
CUACGUGCCAGCAGCCGCGGUAAUACGGAAGGUUCGGGCGUUAUCCGGAUUUAUUGGGUUUAAAGGGAGCGUAGGCCGUGGAUUAAGCGUGUUGUGAAAUGUAGACGCUCAACGUCUGAAUUGCAGCGCGAACUGGUUCACUUGAGUAUGCACAACGUAGGCGGAAUUCGUCGUGUAGCGGUGAAAUGCUUAGAUAUGACGAAGAACUCCGAUUGCGAAGGCAGCUGACGGGAGCGCAACUGACGCUUAAGCUCGAAGGUGCGGGUAUCAAACAGGAUUAGAUACCCUGGUAGUCCGCACAGUAAACGAUGGAUGCCCGCUGUUGGUACCUGGUAUCAGCGGCUAAGCGAAAGCAUUAAGCAUCCCACCUGGGGAGUACGCCGGCAACGGUGAAACUCAAAGGAAUUGACGGGGGCCCGCACAAGCGGAGGAACAUGUGGUUUAAUUCGAUGAUACGCGAGGAACCUUACCCGGGCUUGAA